GGACGUUCCAACACCCAGGUGGCCAAUGGAAACCUUUCUGACUACCUAGCUGUGUAGAAUUGAGCCGCCUAUGUAGGCCCAAGCCAAAUGAGACAAGCUGCAUACAAUCACUUUCCAGCAGUCUCCUCCUUAUUAUCACAGACAGGAUUACAGUGAAAGAUGACAUGAGUAUACAGACAAGAUGAGAUCGAUUUAUUCACUAUAGGUAAUGCUCAGAGCUCAGCCAAAAUCCCCUGCCACAUGACCUCUGCACAUGUCACAGAGCAUGUCUAGAAAACUCUCCUACAGAAGUGAAUGGGGUCAACUCCAGACUCUAGUAUUGUCAAUGUGGUUUUCUAUAAAGUAUAUCUCUAAAUAUGGUUUAAAGCAGUUGAGGCUGACCCAUAAUAAUGUACUAAAUAUGAAAUAAAAUGUUCAAUAAAAUAGAAAGAUUAGACAAAAAUAACACAUUUGAGUAUUUGGAUAUUAUUGUUAUAAAAAAAAAUACAUAUUUGUCUUUAAAUGUAAGUUCACAUGAGUUUUCCAUCAGAUAAAUCCAUAGAGAAAUCUGUGGUAGAAUUCCAGGGCAUACCCUGUCACUUCUUUUUUAUCAUGAUGUUAAUUUGAAGUACAGCGUGGAUUUCCAAUUAUUACAAUGGUACUUGGGCUCUGCGUAGAUUCCAGUGUAAAACCUUUACUGGAACCUGCAUGAAACAACCUCUAUGCCAUGAAAAACAUGGCCUUACACUGACACAAAGGGAAGCAACCACACACAAGAAUUAUGGCAAGAUACCAACUGCUGUUAUAUGGAAGAACUUGAUGACAUAUGUGCUGUAACUGCUUAGCCACCUAAACAUGGAGUACCUUGGGCCUUGGUAAAUGAAACAUGCCUCUGGACAGUGGAGGGAAUUCAUCAAAAGUGGUGUAGGUGCUUGUCUUUUAACCCUAUUCAUUUGUGUGGUGGAAAUCGUGGGGGUUAUUUAUCAAUAAUGUUCUUUGCUAGAUCAUUUUUGUUGUUUAUCUUGUUGCGUUUUUUUUCUUUUUGUCGGUGCUGCGGCAAAUUUAUCGAUUGUGUGGAAUGGCCCUACCUGUGGGUGACACUGAAGGAAAUGGGUUUUAGACACAGAUUUAUAUCAUGGGUCUGGUAACUUGACAACCCUAGUGCCAGAGUACAUGCUAAUGGUGAGGUCUCUUCAAAUUUUACUCUUUCCCGCAGGACCAGACAGGGAUGCUUGCUAUCACCAUUAUUAUUUGCAGUAGUAAUGGAACCCUUGGCUUCUCUGAUACGUUUAACUAAUGGGAUGAAAGGGUUUAACUAUGGUUCCUAUGUGAAUAAAAUUGCUUUGUAUGAAGAUGAUGCAUUAUUAUUUUUUAAAUGAUACUGGUUCUUCACUAAUUGCGCUAAUAAAGCUUAUGGAUAGAUACAGGAUCCUGUCUGGUAUUUGCAUUAAUUGGAACAAAUCUUUCCUUAUGUUGUUAGAUCGGGAGGUUAAUGAAAAUACUUGUAUAAAAUGUGUAACACAGCUUAAAUACCUUGGUAUUGAAAUUUCUUCAAAUAUAUCUCAAUAUGAAACUCUAAAUAUAGCCCCUUUUCUAAAUAAUUUUAAAUGAAAAUCACUGGCUUGGCGCAGAUUACCCUUUUCAGUUGUGGGUAGAAUUAACCUUAUUAAAAUGGUCUAUAUGUCUCAACUUUUAUAUUUAUUUCAUAAUUCUCCAAUUAGGCUGUCUCCUAGUCCUUUUCAGAGAAUCAUCGGCCAAUUUAGAGACUUGAUCUGGAACGUCCGGAAGCCUAAACUGAAGUUGGAAAAUCUUCAGAGACAUAAAGAUGGUUGUGGGUUGGCACUGUGUCACCUGAACAGUGGGAUUCGGUUUUAAAGGCAGUCCUAAAUCAAUACCUGGGAGAGAGUGGUCAGCUAUCUCAGAUUUAUAUUUUAUAUAGGACAUAUCAAACACCACCUUUUCUUUACCAAAUAGGUCUUAAACGAUAUUCAAACUGUCCGCGGUGUUCACUUCCUGAGGCAGAUCUCAUGCAUAUGUUGUGGAGUUGUACGCACUUGGAGGAAUACUGGAGCUCUUUCCUCAGCAUUAUUGGAAGCAUAUCUGGUUUAGAAAUACCUAGGGAACCAAGAGUCUGUAUCUUGGGUUAUCUGGAUGAUUUACCUAUUGAAGUUAGUUCCAGGAUUGCGGUGGGUCGUAUGUUAUACACUACAAGAACAUUUCUUGCUCAAUUUCUCUUUAGGAUGAAGGUCCUUUUAAGUUGGGAAAGGGCUAUAUAUAAAUAUAUAUAUAUAUAUAUAUAUAUAUUCUAAAAGAAAUAUAUAGGUACUUUGGCAUGAAAGAUAUAAUUGAUACAUUCUCCCCCCCCCCCCCCUUUUUUUUUAUUUUCUCCUCCUCUGCAGCACUAUGGGUGGGGAGUUGGGUGGGAUAAAUAAAUAAGAAAGGGAGAAAUUGCUUAAAUCCUGUAUUUUCUGUUAGAGCUCAUCUGCAUAUAUGUUUUUUUCUUAUUUAUUUGUUGACAAGCUCUGUAUUUAAUAUGUGUCAAUAAAAAUCAAUAUUUAUAAAAAAAAAGAAUUAUCAUAUUUCGUGCAGAUAUGCACAACCACACCCAGAUAAUUUUCUUCUGCCGCUUUCAGAUCACGUCUACCAUGCCUCUGAGGAGCUUGCUUUAAAGGAGAAAAGUGUGGAUGAAGGCGAUUUAAUGGAGGAGGAGGAGCAAUCAUUGGAUAUUGAUAGUGAGUCUCCCUCACAUUUGGGUAGUGGUAGUGGACACAUAUGGUACGCAAACAACACGAGACACAAGAGAACAUCGCCAAACAGGACUAGAGAACUAAACAGCAGCAAGACAACCAUAGUACAAGUAACUCCUUGAUGGUGGUUAGAGUAAUCUUUCUACCAUAAAAUUUAACCCCUGCACGAAA